rnacentral:SRP_RNA from 1 species
AUGCUGAGCAGGCGUCUGUGCUAAGGCUGGCAUCAGUAUGGUGAGCCCCGGGGAGCUGGGGCACGCCAGGUUGACUAAGGAGGGGUGAACCAGCCCAGGUCGGAAACAGAGCAGGUCAAAGCUCCCGUGCUGGUCAGUAGCGGGAUCACAGCUGUGAAU